AGCAGCCGCGGUAAUUCCAGCUCCAAUAGCGUAUAUUAAAGUUGUUGCAGUUAAAAAGCUCGUAGUUGAAUUUCGGGAUCAAUAUAUCGGUCGUGCCUUGGUACGUACUGGUAUCAUUGGUUUCUCCUUUCUGACGAACCAUGAUGUCAUUAAUUUGGUGUUAUGGGAAGUUAGGACUGUUACUUUGAAAAAUUAGAGUGUUUAAAGCAGGCUUUGGCUUGAAUACAUUAGCAUGGAAUAAUGAAAUAGGACGUUCGAACCUAUUUUGUUGGUUUCUAGGAUCAACGUAAUGAUUAAUAGGGAUAGUUGGGGGCAUUAGUAUUCAAUUGUCAGAGGUGAAAUUCUUGGAUUUAUUGAAGACUAACUACUGCGAAAGCAUUUGCCAAGGAUGUUUUCAUUAAUCAAGAACGAAAGUUAGGGGAUCGAAGACGAUCAGAUACCGUCGUAGUCUUAACCAUAAACUAUGCCGACUAGGGAUCGGAUGAUGUUAAUUUUUUAAUGUACUCAUUCGGCGCCUUAC
rnacentral:misc_RNA from 1 species